GCCCAGAUGGUGGAACUGGUAGACACGCACGUUUCAGGUACGUGUGCUUCACGGCGUGGGGGUUCGACUCCCCCUUUGGGCA
rnacentral:tRNA from 1 species